AGUAAAAGUCUCUUUUAGUUCUGGAUAAUCAAAAUAACUUCAACCCCGUUCCUGUGAUAAGCCCAUCUUUAUGCAAAAAUCUGCCCCCAGGACUGUCUGAGUCCACACUGGCUGCUCGGCUCAUGGUGCAGGUGUGUGGGAGCCCUCCUCCACAUGGUCUCCACAGCAACCCGCCACUCUAAUCUGCUGAAUAUGAAAAGAAGAAACAGAAAGAGAAAAGCCAUCCACCCCCUUCUGCUCCAUCCAUGAGUCCAAAAGAAGGAUAUCGUCUCCAGGCAUUCCUGAUAAUACCCCAGCCAUUGCCCUGGCAACAGUCACAGGGAGCCGGCAUGGCCUGUGGAGAAAGCAGUCCCUGUCUCUAGCUCAGGCGGCUUCCUCCUCCUCCUCUUCUCCCACCACGGAUCUCCUAAUAGCCCCUAACAAUUGUGCACCCCACUUUUGGCCCACUGCCUCAUGCCCUCCAGCCUGCCAGCGGACCACUGACACAGAGAAUACAGAAAUCCACAUACUUUUCUCCUAAUGGUACUGAAAUGAUACUUGCAGGCAUGCAUACAGGCUUCUAAGUGUGUAUAGAUGAGAUUGUGUGUGUGUGUGUCUGUGUGUCUGUGCCUGUGUAUAGAUUUGAAAGACUCUUCACCUCUAGCUCCCCUGCAGAUGAACUGUGUUUACACGCUGAAUGAAGAAGUGGAGACUACUUCUUAUCAAAGCUAAGAGUUUGGAAAAGCCACCGCUUACAACUCCCAUUCUCUCAGCUGAGCUGGCUGAGGAGGUUUGCAGAGCCCUUUGCUCUGAGCCUCAUACCCAGCAGUGAAAGCUCUCAUUUGUCUUAAGGCCAUCAUGUUGAUGCAGCUGGCUUUGACACUGCUUACCUCAGCAUUUUUUUUUUUUUCGGUUGAAAGACAGAAGGCUUCCUUGUGAUCCCAGCCUUUUCCUAUCAAAUGACACUCAGCCUGGGUUUGGGUGACUUAUUUACUGGCACUAGACCAGUAAAAACAAAAAUGAACGUUCGCAACUAAUAAAUCCUCGUGCUUAGAUAGCUAGAGCCACAGCGGUGGGAUUACACCAGAAUGCUCGGCCGUUACUGGAGGGCUCCCAGGCUGUGCGGAGCCUAGUAAGUCAGAGGAGGAAAGGGGACCAAAUCAAGGAGCAGAGAAAUUACGUGCAGCAUGGGUUUUGGACAAUGAAAACCUUUUAUCUUCACUCUACGAUGUGCUUUCCGGGUGGGAGAUUCUACAGGCAGAAAUAGGGUGCACUGUGUUUGCAUCAUCGCGGUGAGCCUGCUAAGCUUGCCACCUUGACCUUCCUUUCUUGAAAAUCAAACCACACCCAUCUUCAGUAAGAUGAAAAAAGACAGCUAAGAUUCUGGACAGCGCAAUCACAGCUUUUCAGAGAACUGAAAGGAGCUAUUUUUAUAGAGGGCACGAGGUCAAGAAUGUUUAGCAAACAAAUUGAAUGUCAUCUACUCGCAGAGAAUUCUCCAAGGACCUUCCUUCUCCCAGGCCCUUGUGGAAAGUGAGGGCACCUCUGAGAGGCGGGUGCAAUGAUGUUUUUCCUUGUUUCAGAAUUGAUCUUUGGUAUAGAAGAACAUUUUUAUGUUAAUAUAAAUCCAAAAGAAUCCCACCAUAAAAUAUCGACACAGCCAAAGCUUUCCUUCUUCCACGACUACUUCUAAGACUCUGAGCAUCCACACUUCCUUUAAGGUUAGGUCUGCUGGGGCAGCUACCAUUGUGUCACAGUGGAAAACUUCCUCAUAGGAUUUAACCUGAUGGAACUAAAUAGAGAUUAAAAAGCAGAGGAUUUUUUUAAAGUAUAAGUCAAAUGGCCUUUGUACAAGCUAAUGGGCAUUUGACUAUUUGGAAAGAUGAUUGACAGCCAUUGAUUUCUCUCUUCCUUUUUAAUUUUGGCUUCAUGACUGAGAGACUACCACAAAGGAUAUUUACUGGUGACAUAUUAGAACACAGCCACCCAGCGGUUCGACUUGUUUGUAUAAUUCCUUUAAUCUAUGUUGUUGCCACUGUCAUCCUGUUUAGCUGUGAUGUCCCCUCAUUACAAAGAAGAUACCUACAAUGAGUGGAUAAUGGGAGCUAUGCUCUCUCAAAGCACCCAAUGAAAGAACAUAUUACAAGUCUUUCAGAGCUCUGCGAAAUUAUUGCAUCUGAUGGCUUUGACAGUGCCAUCCUUAAGUGAAAUCUAAGUUUGUGGAGCCAGAAGAAUGGGACGGUAACUCUGGAGACCAAGCACUCACUGCAAAUAUUUACACCAUCAAAUGCAGAGCCUCAUGGUCAGCUGUGAUGCUGACAGUCCUGUAUGGCACUCAUGAUGGGCCUUCACCUUGAGGAUAGGCCAAUAACAACACAGAAAAUCACUGAAGAGAACAGACAUGACUGCCAUGAAUUAAAUGCUUCUCCACAUCGUCAUCAUGUGACUUUUUAAUUCACAGUGUGAACCUAUCUGGACAGCUAAGUAUUCCACAUUUCCAUGGAGAGGCACUUACGACUUGGGAGGUGGAGUGGUGGAGUGGAAAGAACAUGAUUUAACUCAUAAGCCUAGGUUCCCAUCCAGCUCAUACACUUAAUAGCUCAUAAACUUAGGCCAGCUAGUCUCUCUGUCAUUGUUUCCUCGUUUUAAAAGCUCCCACUUUGCGGUGUCUUGUGAGGACACGAUUAGAGCAAACAUUUGGAGAAUGUGUGCUUUGGAAGCCGAAACGGCUACCCCAACACGAAUGCUUUGACUUCAUUAAAUUGGCCAAAUGAUUUUCCCUCAUUGAUCAAGCUGACCUAAUUUAGCAGUAAUAGAAACACACAAGUACUUGUAAGUGACAGUCUUAGGGAAUGUAAUUCAGCUGGUCCUGAAACAUGAAUCUUUCCAUUAACAUCCCAUUAAAAGUUUUCUUUUUACAAAGAUUUAUUUAUAGUAUUAUUUUAUGUAUUCAAGUAUUUUGCCUCUCUCUCUCUCUCUCUCUCUCUCUCUCUCUCUCUCUGUGUGUGUGUGUGCCUGGUACUCAAAAAAGUUAAGAUGAAUAGAUAAAGUCCCUGGGACUGGAGUUACAGGUGGCACCUUACCAUGUAGGUAUUAGGAAUCAAGAGAAGCAAGACACUCAUCCUAUGAACCCAUGAACCAGAUCUGAUUAUUUGCUUUUGGUAGCUGUCUGUGUUGUCUCAAUUUUCAGUCACACUCCAACCUCAGUACAUAGUUUGCAAAGGCAGUGAUCAAGUGAUCAAUGACCUUACUUGGUCUUUACAGGGCACGGUUCCUCAAUACUGUUUAUACUGCACACAGCACAUUUAUUGAGUACUUGCUGAAUAAAUACCAGAAUUCAUAAAACAUUAUUACUACUCCACAAUGUUUUAGCCUAAGAACGUGACACAUUGAUAAACAGAGUUCUAGUCUGUAUGGAAAUUGGCAAGUAAAUAUGAACAAAAACUACACACUUAAUUUUCUUUUUCUACAAAUUUAACUUUUCAAAUAAGCACAUAAAAUUGUUCAUACUUAUAUGUAGCAUGAGGGUUUGAAAUAUUUUGUGGAAAGGUUAAAUCUAAUUAACAAAAGCAUUACAAAGUCAUCAUUUUGUGACAAUACUCAUUACCACUCUCCUAGCAUUUUCAAAAAUAUAGUAAUUAUUAAACUAUAGUCAUCAUGCUGAAAAUUCAUUUUGAUGAGAUAAUUCUAGGCUAUUUGACCUGUUUUAUUUUAAAAUUUUAAACAUAGAACAAAGAAAGUAGUUAUGCUGGCCUGGCAAAGGGGUGGUAGUAGAUUGUUUUACUGAUGACCUCACUAGCCCAGGGAAGUUGGCUUGGUUGCCAUUAACAGACAUAAUUUCCAUCCUGUGGAAUGGGCCAAUUAGGCAGCUGUUGGUUACCACUAACACGUGGGUCCCGUGUAUUGUACUUUAACAGAUAGAUAUCUUGCUGUGCCUGUACUUGUUGUAGUUACUAAGUGUGGCCCCUGGGUAGGACUACUUAAUUGCUUCUCUCCCUUGGCACCUUUCGUAGAAUUUUCUGAUAUCAUGGAAUCUACACUACGGACAGAGGCUUUCAGGUAAGUAUAGAUACCACCCCUCACCAAAGAUUCCUCAUAUACAGCAAAUGGAGACCCGCACUAAGGAUCACAACUGCUGAGAUAAAAUGAUUGUGGGAAGCCCCAAUGGAUACAUCUACAUCAGAUCUUCUGCUUCUAUAGCUCAGAGAGGACCACAUGAGAAAGCCUACACCUACCAUGAAACAGUUUUGGCUAGAAAUGGUUGUACAAAGAAGACUGGAGCAAUGGCAAAUCCCAAGGACAUGCUAACGUGGAAGAUGAAGAAUUUCACAAUCCUGCAUUCCUAGACAAAAAACUAUAGUGUACUAAUGGCUACUGGGAGAAGGAAAAUCAGCCACCCUCAGGAGGAGCCCCUUAUUGGUUGCCCAAUGCAGCGUUCAGCUCUAAAAUAUAUACACAAGAAGGUGUGGUCUACUCACUCUGAAAAACAAGACAAGAAAAACUCUGAGGAGGGAGGAGGUUUCUGUCUCAGAUAAAGGG